GACGAACGCUGGCGGCGUGCUUAACACAUGCAAGUCGAACGGAAAGGCCCUGCUUUUGUGGGGUGCUCGAGUGGCGAACGGGUGAGUAACACGUGAGUAACCUGCCCUUGACUUUGGGAUAACUUCAGGAAACUGGGGCUAAUACCGGAUAGGAGCUCCUGCUGCAUGGUGGGGGUUGGAAAGUUUCGGCGGUUGGGGAUGGACUCGCGGCUUAUCAGCUUGUUGGUGGGGUAGGGGCUUACCAAGGCUUUGAAGGGUAGCCGGCCUGAGAGGGUGACCGGCCACAUUGGGACUGAGAUACGGCCCAGACUCCUACGGGAGGCAGCAGUGGGGAAUAUUGCACAAUGGGCGGAAGCCUGAUGCAGCAACGCCGCGUGCGGGAUGACGGCCUUCGGGUUGUAAACCGCUUUCGCCUGUGACGAAGCGUGAGUGACGGUAAUGGGUAAAGAAGCACCGGCUAACUACGUG
rnacentral:rRNA from 1 species